UUUGAAAUUCUGCUACAGAUAGCACCCUUACUGUAAGUCGUUAAGGAGUUCCAUUGAUCGUUACGUAUUCAUAUUCGACUACGAAAAUUACUUGACCAUAACGAGGCUACGGUACAGGAGUCGAAUCAAAAUGUCUUUAUUUGAUUUUUUGCCGGUGGUAAAUAACUGUUGCAUAAUUUGCAGCUUAAAAGUUGGUUCAAUUAUUAUUGCUGUGUUUAUGAUUAUGUUCAUAGUCUCAAUAAGUACAUGCAACUACUACCACUACAACUAUUUUAAUACUACAAUAUUUUGUAGAAAUGCGUAUACGAUUUCAGACAAAAAUACAUUCGAAGAUCCCAAAGCUGUUCAAUACAUCGUUGCUAUUAUUGCAGUUGUAACUCUCAUCAUUACCGUUGCGUUUCUCCUCGGCAUUUGUAUUAAUAAAUCAAAAACUGCAGCGGAAAUAUUUUUAUAUGCGUUGGCGUUCCAUAUAAUUUUAUCAAUAAUUUUUUUUAUUUAUUAUAUUGUUGGAAGAAUAAUGGGAAAAGACUUCCGCUUAUAUGAAAUCAUUAAUUAUCCAAUGUUUAUAAUUAUGAUGAUUUAUUUUAUGAUUGUUGUGAGAAGCUACAAAGAUGAAACUGCUCAAUCGAUAUAAUAUAAACAUAAACUUAAUGUCGAUAGAGCAUACCAAAUAAUAAAUCCAAAACUCAGAAUGUCAGUGCUGUCAUCGUUGAAGAUUCUAGAAGCCAUAAGGAGCGCAUGCGCAGAUACCCGAUGAUUCCUAACUAUAAUUGAGAAUUCCUUAUUCUAUAUGUGGAUUUAUGAAAAGGAUUUAGUUUAUGUAAAAGUUGCGAUAUUUAGAUAGAGUUGUCACGGGAGUAAUAAAUAUAACUUUAGAUUAUGAUUUAAUGAUUGUAAUGCAUAAUUUUAUUAAUAAUAUAUGUGUAUAUUCUAUAUUAUACCUGUAUUAUACCUGUGUAUUAAUAAUAUUACAAUGAUGUCUGAUAACGGAACGGCAAAAGUGUGCUUAAAAACAAUGUACGCACACUUAACUCCUUACGUCCUUUCCCAAUAUACUAUCUACAGAUAAAUUACUACCUUCUACUGUCAGUUAAUUAGCUGUCAAUAAUCUAAAGCUGUCCCAAAAUACCCGAUAAGUCAUUCUUAUCGUCUUAUAUUGGGACGCGUGAAUUGCAAUUUCCAUACGAACUUUUAUCGCUGGUGAGGUGUACGUCGUCCCAUUGACAGAGCGUGUGCGGAUAAGGUGAGUUACCGUCGAUAAGGUUAUUGGGACAGAAAAUUCAACGAAAGUUACGAUUUUUAUCUCAAGUCGGCCGUUAGUCGUGUGUCAACUCACUGUCCAAAUCGAAUCAAAACUGAUUAAUGCUUUACAUUGCUGCUUACGGACUAAGAGUAUUUUUAAAAACUAGAGUAAAUGGGGCAAUGUAUAGAUAUAACUACAUUUGAGACUUAUUAUGGAGUAAACUUGGGAGUUCGAUAUUUCGGCUUUGUUUUUUUUUAUACGACAUGCUUUAUCUAUAUGUAUCGAAUGUCGUUGUAUUAUGAUUAAAUGUUGCCUAAUGUUAAUAUGAGUUUGAUUCAUUAUGUAAUUUUUAACCGAGUAUGUAAAUAUUUAAAAAGAAUAUUAUUUUAUUAUUAACCCACCCGGAAACUCUACAAGGUAUCCACAGUAUUGUGGUUGGUGGUAGAAUUCUCAACGUCGCACA